rnacentral:rRNA from 1 species
CGGUUAGUACCUGGCGUCAAGGGAUAAAACGGACUGGCGGCGGACACAUAAGACAUAGCAAGUCGAACGGAUUAACCAUUAGUUUACUAUUGGAGCGGUUAGUGGCGGACUGGUGAGUAACACGUAAGCAACCUGCCUAUCAGAGGGAACAACAGUUAGAAAUGACUGCUAAUACCGCAUAUGCCAUGAAUAUCACAUGAUAUAAAUGGGAAAGGAGCAAUCCGCUGAUAGAUGGGCUUGCGUCUGAUUAGAUAGUUGGUGGGGUAACGGCCUACCAAGUCGACGAUCAGUAGCCGGACUGAGAGGUUGAACGGCCACAUUGGGACUGAGAUACGGCCCAGACUCCUACGGGAGGCAGCAGUCAGGAAUAUUGCGCAAUGGAGGAAACUCUGACGCAGUGACGCCGCGUGCAGGAAGAAGGUUUUCGGAUUGUAAACUGCUUUAGACAGGGAAGAUAAUGACAGUACCUGUAGAAUAAGCUCCGGCUAACUACGUG